CGGGACGUAGCUUAGCCUGGUAGAGCGCCUGCUUUGGGAGCAGGAGGUCGCGAGUUCGAAUCUCGCCGUCCCGACCA
rnacentral:tRNA from 1 species